ensembl:lncRNA
CACACUUUACAACACCACGACAGUUGAUAACAAGUUAAUUAUACAUAAACAAAAAUGGAAUAACACAUGAAAUAGGCUGAAAUAGGCUAGGGUGUACUACAUUCUGUGAAUUGACUAUAAUUCUCCCCUCCACUGCCCUGUUCAGCGAACAGUCAGCUUAAGUCUGGCUAUGUAUUUAACUGGACCUCCUGGCUAGAUGACUACGGCUUUGGAAAGUGUACUGACCUGAAGAGAUGUAACGUCUUCCCAGAUGGGAAACCCUUCCCUCAGAGCAACGACUGGAGACACAAGGGCUACGUCUACGUAUGGCACUCCAUGGAGGACCUGAGCCCUAGGACCAUGCCUCAGGACUACCACCUGGUCGUGCUGCUAUGGAACCCUGACCUGUUCACCGGACUCUCUCUCUCUCUGCCACACCUGCUGUCUCGACCUCUGAAUGCUCGGCUAUGAAAAGCCAACUGACAUUUACUCUUGAGGUGCUGACCUGUUGCACCCUCUACAACCACUGUGAUUAUUAUUAUUUGACCCUGCAGAUCAUCUAUGAACAUUUGCACAUCUUGACCAUGUUCUGUUAUAAUAUCCACUCGGUACAGCCAAUAGAGGACUGGCCACCCCCUGUAAACUUCAGACUUCAUCUGUAAGUAUACUUAAACCAAAUACUUUUAGACUUUUACUCAAGUAGUAUUUUACUGGGUGACUUUCACUUUUACUUGAGUCAUUUUCUAUGAAGGUAUCUAUACUUUGAUAGUAUGUAUGACAAUUGGGUACUUUUUGACCGCUGGUCAACAUAGACUAGUAGAGUAGGUGUACUUACUUAUAUUUUCCGUAGUAAGUGUAUCUUGGAAUAAAAAUGGUUUUGUUCUUGAGAAAAGACUUUGAACCUUGUACUAGAACUAAUGGUUUCUUAUGAAUCUGUAGCAUUAUCUUCUAUAGUUUAUGUUCCUGGCCACAGUAGUGUGAUGGUAGCCAUUACCCAGGUGGCUCCACUGUCAUUAGGGCCAAGGUCUCCAGAUAAACAUUUGUUUUCUCCCUUCUAUUAUACCAUUGCCUCUGCUCAGUCACCUAGCCUGCCUGAUCUUCUCUGGCACUUUUUUUACUCAGCAUUUUCUUAGCCAAGGUGUGUCACUCACUCUUGGACUGAUUGGAUUAUCCAGCAUGGCAGAAAUGCAAUGCAUAGAGCUGACAAUCCCUGUGGUCUUCUAUGAUCUGCUCUUCUACACCACAUUGAUCUGAACG